UCCCUGGUGGCUUUGUAGUUAAGGACAUAGCAUUGUCACUGCUGUGGUUCAGGUUUCAACCCUGACCUGGGAA
rnacentral:tRNA from 1 species